UUCUACUGACCUUAUCCUUUUCAUUCAAACAUAAACCCUAAUCUUCUUAAGGUGAACCUUCUUCUCCCAUUGCAGUUAUUAGCGCCAUCAUCAAUAUUGAAGACUGAAUUUGUUUGAGAAAUUGUUCUUCCAUGGCGAGAUCUGAAGCGGUAAAAUAAAAUCCUAAAUUCCUUAACGCGGUUAUAACAUUCUUCUUCUCCGACGCAGACUUCAUCGAUUUGAAAUUCAACGUUGGUGGUUGCGGUUAGCGAUUGAACUGUGUUAUCCUCAACGAGGAUGAGGAUUGGGUGUUGAUGUUGUAGUGAGGGGAAUAGUGAAAUAGCAUCGAGGUUCAGAUCAUAUGAGGCGACGUCGACGAAGAUGAGCAUAUAAAAGGGUGCAACACUAUGUUUUGUACGACUCUAAGUUAAGCUCUAAGUUUUGUAUGUUUGAGAUUGCUAGGGACCAUGCUAGAGACUUAUGUGCCAAGGUGGGUACUCUAUUCUUCUCAUUUUCUACUUGUAAUGUAUGUUCCUUUUCAUUAGUUAAUUAUUACUUCAAAACAUCAUUUUAGUACUAAUAUAAUGAUGUUAAAGUAACCUAUAUAGAUUUGUUUGCUUUCUGUACCAUGGCUAAAAAAGCCUGCAAAGCUACAAUUUUUAUGAUCAUGGUGAGUUAUGGAUUGUCCAUGUAGCAGAGAAGUAAUGCUACUUAGUAUAACAAUUAUAAUUGUAAGCCAUUGUAUUCCUUUGAUAUUUCUACUUUCAUUACAAUCACUUGACACUUUUUGUGAACUUAUUGUAUUAUUAACAUGAUAUAUAGCAGUAAGCUUUGCUUGGAUGCUUCACACAGCUUUGUUAAAAUUAACACACAACUAAUUUCAUAUCUAGACUUUAGAACAUAAAUAUUGAAGGUUAUCUCUAAGCUUCAGUUACGCCUUAGUCAUAGAACAUAUACUGAUGUCACUAGCCAAUUUGUGUAUGAAACAAAUCCUUGUUCCCAUUCUCAACAAUCAUUCUUAGAUACAUACACAUAUACAUUAUAUUACAUUAAAGAUAGAUUACCUUAUUCAAUUUCAACCCUUCUAUUUUGUUAUUACAUGAUAACUAUACAUAUACAUCAUAAUAUAUUAUAUUUAAGAUAGAUUAUAGACCUUGCAAUUUGAAUGACCAUAGUAGCAAUAACAAAACAGUUUAGUCUGAGAGUUCUAGUAGACCUUCAUGACUGCUCCUGUAACUCUCAAACUCUAAAUCCAUGAUUGCGAUGACAAAUUCUUUCCUAUGUUCCGUUCUUUUGUUUUGGAGUUGAUAAGUAGGCAGAAGCAUAGUGAAAACAUAUGAUCCCUUCUUUUUACAUGAACAUUGGCCAAAGGUCACUCUUAUUAUUAUUACCUGGAUGUUGAUAUGAAAUGCAUUAAAUGAAUGGUUGGAUUAGCUCAACAACAAAUAAAUGAUGAUAAUAAUACUACUUCUUGAUUAGAGACGUUGUCAACAUAUGUCCAUCCUUUGGAUUAACAUGAGAUGUUGUUUUAUAUUUUUUGCAUUCUUAUCUCUUGAGCAGAUCUACCUCAUCAACAAAAUAUAUACCACAGUGAGUGAUUAGAUGAUGUCCCUUGUUUUUCUUGUGCUUGCACCAUCCUAUCUCCUUACACAUUAAUAGUUUCUUGGUUCCUGUGUUACUUAUUGUAGAUAUGAUUUCAACAAUUAUUCGAGGAAUAGGACUUGGUUGAAGUGCAAACAUGACAAUGUUUGAUAAGAGCAUUUUUGGAGAUCAAGUUGGGUCAGAAGAAAAAUCAAGAUUUUGCAUCGUGGGGUCAAAUUUUCGCUUGUCCAAAGUAGUAGAUCAAGCAUGACAAUGUAGGCAUUGUUUUAUUAGAGAUACGCAUUGACAAUCCUUAGAGACGUGUGGACUCAAUUGAUCACUUGAUUUUGUUUUCAUCUGAUUUUGUAUACAAAUGUCUAAACUAAUUUAAUAUUGUCAAAACAAAUGUUGCUCCAAGAAUAUAAAGGUUGG
rnacentral:lncRNA from 1 species